UGACAUGCUUUAAAGACAUUGUCUCACCCUCGAGCGAGACGACUGCGAACUAG
rnacentral:rRNA from 1 species